rnacentral:rRNA from 1 species
GAUGAACGCUGGCGGCGUGCCUAAUACAUGCAAGUCGAGCGAACAGACGAGGAGCUUGCUCCUCUGACGUUAGCGGCGGACGGGUGAGUAACACGUGGAUAACCUACCUAUAAGACUGGGAUAACUUCGGGAAACCGGAGCUAAUACCGGAUAAUAUAUUGAACCGCAUGGUUCAAUAGUGAAAGACGGUUUUGCUGUCACUUAUAGAUGGAUCCGCGCCGCAUUAGCUAGUUGGUAAGGUAACGGCUUACCAAGGCAACGAUGCGUAGCCGACCUGAGAGGGUGAUCGGCCACACUGGAACUGAGACACGGUCCAGACUCCGACGGGAGGCAGCAGUAGGGAAUCUUCCGCAAUGGGCGAAAGCCUGACGGGGCAACGCCGCGUGAGUGAUGAAGGUCUUCGGAUCGUAAAACUCUGUUAUUAGGGAAGAACAAAUGUGUAAGUAACUAUGCACGUCUUGACGGUACCUAAGCAGAAAGCCACGGCUAACUACGUG